rnacentral:rRNA from 1 species
UACGUAGGAUGCGAGCGUUGUCCGGAAUUAUUGGGCGUAAAGAGAACGUAGGCGGUUUGUUAAGUUUGGGCUUAAAGACUGGGGCUCAACCCCAGGAGUGGCUCGAAAACUGACAGACUAGAGGAUGGCAGAGGAAAGUGGAAUUCCCAGUGUAGCGGUGAAAUGCGUAGAUAUUGGGAGGAACACCAGUGGCGAAAGCGACUUUCUGGGCCAUUCCUGACGCUGAGGCGCGAAAGCGUGGGGAGCGAACAGG